AAUGAAUUGCCUGAUAAAAAGGGUUACCUUGAUAGGGUAGAUUAUGCGGCUAUUACCGCAUUCAUUA
rnacentral:tRNA from 1 species